rnacentral:tRNA from 1 species
UCUCUGGUGUUUCAGUGGCUAAGACUUCAUGCUUCCAAUGCAAGGGGCCCAGGUUCGAUCCCUGACCAGGGAA